UUCUAUGAUAUCUGUCUCUAUCGAAAGCUAACUUCUUCCCAAAAUCAAGAAAAUGAAAAUCUCUUUUUAUUUUUCAUUCCUCCUUCUUGUUCUCUUGAUUGAUUCUGGAAAACAAGUUGAAAUGGCAGUGGUGCCUGAUUGUGAUGUAGUAAGAUUGCCAAAUGAUCAUUGUGAUCCACUCAAGAAUGAUUGCGACAGUCAUUGCAAAGCAUAUUUCAAAUCACAAACUGCACAUGGAUCCUGUGGCAUUCAGUUUCAUACAUGUGUUUGUUAUAGUUGCUAAAUAUAAUUUUCAUCUAUAUUAAUCGCAGCUUUCCCAAAAUGAAUGUGUGACGAUGAACUGAAAAAAGUAUAAUAAAAUGGCUCUAUUAUUAGUCUGUCUUUA